rnacentral:rRNA from 1 species
AGCUCCAAUAGCGUAUGCCGUUUAUGUUGUGGUUAAAAAGCUCGUAGUUGGAUCUCGGUUUCGGGAGUGUGGUGCGUCUUGCGGCGUUUACUGCACACCCGGACGAUUUUGUCGGUUCGUUCUUGGUGCUCUUAACCGGGUGCCUAGAGUGGCCGGCACGUUUACUUUGAAAAAAUUGGAGUGCUCAAGGCAGGCGCUACAGCCUGAACAUUUGUGCAUGGAAUAAUGGAAUAGGAUCUCGGUUCUAUUUCGUUGGCUUUCGGAGUCGAGGUAAUGAUUAAUAGGGACAGACGGGGGCAUUCGUACUGCGACGUUAGAGGUGAAAUUCUUGGACCGGCGCAAGACGGACCUAAGCGAAAGCAUUUGCCAAGAAUGUUUUCA